GCAUCCAGAGAUGGAUGUGUCUCUUCGGUAGACGGUAUGACAGGUGCUGCAUGGCUGUCGUCUAGCUCGUGCCGUGAGGUGUUGGGUUAAGUCCCGCAACGAGCGCAACCCCUAUCUUUAGUUGCCAUCAGUUCGGCUGGGCACUCUAUGGAGACUGCCACCUAAAGUGGAGGAAGGUGGGGAUGACGUCAAGUCAGCAUGGCCCUUACGUCCGGGGCUACACACGUGCUACAAUGGCCGGUACAAAGGGUUGCGAAGCCGUGAGGUGGAGCGAAUCUCAAAAAGCCGGCCUCAGUUCGGAUUGGAGGCUGCAACUCGCCUCCAUGAAGUCGGAAUCGCUAGUAACCGCAGAUCAGCUACGUUGCGGUGAAUACGUUCCCGGGCCUU
rnacentral:rRNA from 1 species